rnacentral:rRNA from 1 species
GACGAACGCUGGCGGCGUGCUUAACACAUGCAAGUCGAACGGAACCGCCCUGAUUUUGUGCGGUGCUCGAGUGGAGAACGGGUGAGUAACACGUGUGUAACCUGCCCUUCACUUUGGGAUAACCUAAGGAAACUGGGGCUACUCUCGGAUAGGAUCUCCCGCUGCAUGGUGGGGGUUGGAACGUUUCGGCGGUUGGGGAUGGACUCGCGGAUUACCAGCUUGUUGGUGGGGUAGUGGCAUACCAAGUCUUUGACCGGUAGCCGACCUGGGAGGGGGACCGGCCACAUUGGGACUGAGAUACGACCCAGACUCCAACGGGAGGCAGCAGGGGGGAGUAUUGCACAGUGGGCGGAAGCCUGAUGCGACAACGCCGCGGGCGGGAUGACGGCCUGCUGGUUGUAAACCGCAGUCGCCUGUGACGAAGCGUGAGUGACGGUAAUGGGAAAAGAAGCACCGGCUAACUACGUG